rnacentral:rRNA from 1 species
UACGUAGGGCGCAAGCGUUGUCCGGAAUUAUUGGGCGUAAAGAGCUCGUAGGCGGUCUGUCGCGUCUGCCGUGAAAACCCGAGGCUUAACCUCGUGGCUUGCGGUGGAUACGGGCAGACUAGAGGUAGGUAGGGGAGAAUGGAAUUCCCGGUGUAGCGGUGAAAUGCGCAGAUAUCGGGAGGAACACCGGUGGCGAAGGCGGUUCUCUGGGGCUUACCUGACGCUGAGGAGCGAAAGCGUGGGGAGCGAACAGG